rnacentral:rRNA from 1 species
AGUCGAGCGAGUCUGCCUUGAGAUCGGAGUGCUUGCACUCUGUGAAACAAGAUACAGGCUAGCGGCGGACGGGUGAGUAACACGUGGGUAACCUGCCCAAGAGAUCGGGAUAACACCUGGAAACAGAUGCUAAUACCGGAUAACAACAGAUGAUGCCUAUCAACUGUUUAAAAGAUGGUUCUGCUAUCACUCUUGGAUGGACCUGCGGUGCAUUAGCUAGUUGGUAGGGUAACGGCCUACCAAGGCGAUGAUGCAUAGCCGAGUUGAGAGACUGAUCGGCCACAUUGGGACUGAGACACGGCCCAAACUCCUACGGGAGGCAGCAGUAGGGAAUCUUCCACAAUGGACGCAAGUCUGAUGGAGCAACGCCGCGUGAGUGAAGAAGGGUUUCGGCUCGUAAAGCUCUGUUGUUGGUGAAGAAGGACAGGGGUAGUAACUGACCUUUGUUUGACGGUAAUCAAUUAGAAAGUCACGGCUAACUACGUGCCAGCAGCCGCGGUAAUACGUAGGUGGCAAGCGUUGUCCGGAUUUAUUGGGCGUAAAGCGAGUGCAGGCGGCUCGAUAAGUCUGAUGUGAAAGCCUUCGGCUCAACCGGAGAAUUGCAUCAGAAACUGUCGAGCUUGAGUACAGAAGAGGAGAGUGGAACUCCAUGUGUAGCGGUGAAAUGCGUAGAUAUAUGGAAGAACACCGGUGGCGAAG